GAUGAACGCUGGCGGCGUGCCUAAUACAUGCAAUUCGAGCGAACAGACGAGGAGCUUGCUCCUCUGACGUUAGCGGCGGACGUGUGAGUAACACGUGGAUAACCCACCUAUAAGACUGGGAUAACUUCGGGAAACCGGAGCUAAUACCGGAUAACAUGUUGAACCGCAUGGUUCAACAGUGUCAGACGGUCUUGCUGUCACUUAUAUAUGGAUCCGCGCCGCAUUAGCUAGUUGGUAAGGUAACGGCUUACCAAGGCAACGAUGCGUAGCCGACCUGAGAGGGUGAUCGGCAACACUGGAACUGAGACACGGUCCAGACUCCUACGGGAGGCAGAAGUAGGGAAUCUUCCGCAAUGGGCGAAAGCCUGACGGAGCAACGCCGCGUGAGUGAAGAAGGUCUUCGGAUCGUAAAACUCUGUUAUUAGGGAAGAACAAAUGUGUAAGUAACUAUGCACGUCUUGACGGUACCUAAUCAGAAAGCCACGGCUAACUACGUG
rnacentral:rRNA from 1 species